rnacentral:rRNA from 1 species
UCGAACGAUGAAUCCCAGCUUGCUGGGUGGAUUAGUGGCGAACGGGUGAGUAACACGUGAGUAACCUGCCCUUAACUCUGGGAUAAGCCUGGGAAACUGGGUCUAAUACCGGAUAGGAGCGUCCACCGCAUGGUGGGUGUUGGAAAGAUUUAUCGGUUUUGGAUGGACUCGCGGCCUAUCAGCUUGUUGGUGAGGUAAUGGCUCACCAAGGCGACGACGGGUAGCCGGCCUGAGAGGGUGACCGGCCACACUGGGACUGAGACACGGCCCAAACUCCUACGGGAGGCAGCAGGUGGGGAAUAUUGCACAAUGGGCGAAAGCCUGAUGCAGCGACGCCGCGUGAGGGAUGACGGCCUUCGGGUUGUAAACCUCUUUCAGUAGGGAAGAAGCGAAAAGUGACGGUACCUGCAGAAGAAGCACCGGCUAACUACGUGCCAGCAGCCGCGGUAAUACGUAGGGGUGCGAGCGUUAUCCGGAAUUAUUGGGCGUAAAGAGCUCGUAGGCGGUUUGUCGCGUCUGUCGUGAAAGUCCGGGGCUUAACCCCGGAUCUGCGGUGGGUACGGGCAGACUAGAGUGCAGGUAGGGGAGACUGGAAUUCCUGGUGUAGCGGUGGAAUGCGCAGAUAUCAGGAGGAACACCGAUGGCGAAGGCAGGUCUCUGGGCUGUAACUGACGCUGAGGAGCGAAAGCAUGGGGAGCGAACAGGAUUAGAUACCCUGGUAGUCCAUGCCGUAAACGUUGGGCACUAGGUGUGGGGACCAUUCCAC